rnacentral:lncRNA from 1 species
CGGGUUGCAUGAAAGAUAUCCUAUUAAGCUGUUAGUACUGGAAAGACAAAGUGGAUGAAGAAUGAAUUUUGCAGAAAGUCAGGUCCACUUGUUCCAGUUUGCGCCUUCUAGUCCUUUGG